rnacentral:rRNA from 1 species
UGUAGGCUGCAACUCGCCUACAUGAAGUCGGAAUCGCUAGUAAUCGCGGAUCAGCAUGCCGCGGUGAAUACGUUCCCGGGCCUUGUACACACCGCCCGUCACACCAUGAGAGUUUGUAACACCCAAAGCCGGUGGGGGUAACCUUUUGGAGCCAGCCGUCUAAGGUGGGACAGAUGAUUGGGGUGAAGUCGUAACAAGGUACC